AAAUAAAUUUUUUAAUAUGGCAGAUUAUAGUGCAUUGGGCUUAAACUCCACUUAUAAAGAUUUAAUUAAUCUUUUAUUAAAA
rnacentral:tRNA from 1 species